CAGGCGGUGGUGAUACAAUGAGUUGAAGCCUUACUUUGAAAUUUAUUUAGGGUUAGGGUCUGUGUUUGGAUUUGUGCUAGAAAGAAAAUUCGCAUCGGGAGAAGAACAAGAAAGACAUGAUUCGAUUGGAGCUGGAGUCCAUAAUUCCAAUUUUGAAGCUAAAACUCAUCAUGACCUUAGUCAAUCUCAGUGCAAUUGUACUCCCUCUUUGUUCCUAUCCACAGGACUGAGAAAUUGGUGCAACAGAACCUAACUCUGGAUGAAAUUGACAUUCUUGAGCAUAAUUUCCUAACUUACUUAUUUCCGGUAUGACGUCUUCUGCAUCUUAAUUAAUAGGUUUGAUGUCUUGAAAAUUGAAUUGCGGGUCCUCUACACUCUACAUACAUGUGUACAUUGUCUAUUUAAAAUUCAGUCCUUGAUUAUAUUAUACAUAAAUACAAUUAUCCCAAUU